rnacentral:SRP_RNA from 1 species
GCCAGGCAUGGUGGCUCAUACCUGUAAUCCCAGCACUUUGGAGGCUGAGGCAGGAGAAUUGUUUGAUCCUGGGAGGCGGAGAUUGCUGUGAGCUGAGAUCAUGCCACUGUACUCCAGCCUGGGUGACAGAUCAAGACUCUGUCUCAAANNNNNNNNNNUUUGAGACAGAGUCUUGAUCUGUCACCCAGGCUGGAGUACAGUGGCAUGAUCUCAGCUCACAGCAAUCUCCGCCUCCCAGGAUCAAACAAUUCUCCUGCCUCAG